AGAGUUUGAUCCUGGCUCAGAUUGAACGCUGGCGGCAUGCCUUACACAUGCAAGUCGAACGGUAACAGGUCUUCGGAUGCUGACGAGUGGCGAACGGGUGAGUAAUGCAUCGGAACGUGCCCAGUAGUGGGGGAUAGCCCGGCGAAAGCCGGAUUAAUACCGCAUACGACCUGAGGGUGAAAGGGGGGGAUCGCAAGACCUCUCGCUAUUGGAGCGGCCGAUGUCAGAUUAGCUAGUUGGUGGGGUAAAGGCCCACCAAGGCAACGAUCUGUAGUUGGUCUGAGAGGACGACCAGCCACACUGGGACUGAGACACGGCCCAGACUCCUACGGGAGGCAGCAGUGGGGAAUUUUGGACAAUGGGCGCAAGCCUGAUCCAGCAAUGCCGCGUGCAGGAAGAAGGCCUUCGGGUUGUAAACUGCUUUUGUCAGGGAAGAAAUCUUCUGGGCUAAUACCCUGGGAGGAUGACGGUACCUGAAGAAUAAGCACCGGCUAACUACGUGCCAGCAGCCGCGGUAAUACGUAGGGUGCGAGCGUUAAUCGGAAUUACUGGGCGUAAAGCGUGCGCAGGCGGCUUUGCAAGACAGAGGUGAAAUCCCCGGGCUCAACCUGGGAACUGCCUUUGUGACUGCAAGGCUAGAGUACGGCAGAGGGGGAUGGAAUUCCGCGUGUAGCAGUGAAAUGCGUAGAUAUGCGGAGGAACACCGAUGGCGAAGGCAAUCCCCU
rnacentral:rRNA from 1 species